rnacentral:sRNA from 1 species
GCCAGGUAUGGUGGCACACACCUGUAAUCCCAUCCACUCGGAGGCUGAGGCAGGAGGAUCACAAAUUUGAGGGCAGCCUGGGCAACUUAGUGAGACCCUGUCUCAA